rnacentral:lncRNA from 10 species
ACCUGCCUCACCAGGUUGAUGUAAGGACCUCGUGGGAUGAAGCCAGCUCAGUGACCAUUCCAGAGAGGACACUCGACACAUGGUUGCCCCCAAGGCAUUUGGGGGAGGCAGAUGCAACUCCAAGCCACUUCUAGGAAGGCAGCUCCAAGCAUCUAAGGGCCACUCUCCAAGCAAAGCUGCAGGAGUGAAGGCUUCGUCGCAGCACCAGCUGAUGGGCAGGCACGCUGAACCGUAAAAGAGACCCCACAGAAAUAAGCUGAGCCCCUCCCUGCACCUGACAUUUCCUCCUGACCCAAUCCCAGGCAAUCACAUGAUUAUUGAUGACUGUCACUGAGCUGCAGGGAGGUGGCUCCAAGCACAGAUGUGG